AUGAUUAAUAACUGAGCCGCACCGUUACUUAAAUAUCUAUCAAUCUUCUUCAUCACAAACCAGAGAAACAGAAACACACUUACAAGUAUAUUAUUCAUUGUUCUUCUCUGGUUUCUAUUUUUUAUUUUGUUUUCUUUUAUUUUGUUUUUCAGUUGUGGCGCUGUGAAUAAUUACGCUUUGUUGUUUUGUUGGCGGCAAAGCAAAUCAUCGUGUUCUUCAUGGCGCCUCUUAAGAACUUCUUCUUUCUCUUCUUCUUCCUCGCUUUCUCUGUAACCCUAAUUUCCUCUAUCGUUAACGCCGAUGCCGCCUCCGCCGACGAUGUUUCCGUCGAUGGAGGUGCCGCCGCUGCCGCUGCCGCUGCCGCUGCUGCUGCUCAACUGGAUCAACUGAACUCCAAGAUCCAACACCUAGAAUCGAAAAUCAGUGAAAAAUCCCAUGAAUUGAAGAAGAAGGAUGAGAUAAUUGCAGAAAAGGAAAAAGUUAUCCAAGAAAGACUGAGCACCAUUGAGUCCCUGCAGAAUGAGGUUGCUUCUCUCCAGAAAAAAGGUUCAUUGGACGUUGAGGAGCAGGUUGGGAAGGCUCAUGCCCGUGCUGGUGAACUGCAAAAUCAGGUGGACAAACUUAAAAGUGAAUUGGAGACAAAAAACAAGGAGAAGCUGACAUGGGAAACCAAGAUAGCCGAGGCUGAGAAAACAAUUCGUCAGUUGGACUCAAAAUUAGCAAAUUUUCAAAAGACAACUGAGGAACAGAAGACCAAAAUUCGUAAAACCGAACGCGCUCUUAAAGUUGCUGAGGAAGAGAUGAUGAAGGCAAAGUUUGAGGCAACUUCAAAAGCAAGAGAACUAACAGAGGUCCAUAGUGCUUGGCUUCCACCUUGGCUUGCUGCACACUAUGUCCAAACUAGGUCAUUGGUUCAAACUCAUUGGGAUAAACAUGGGAAACCUACUUGGGAGGUGAUUACUCAAAAGGCUAAAGAGAAAAAGGAACAAGCCGGGAAAUGGGCUGAACCUCAUGUGGAAACAAUCACAACUAAAUGGAUCCCGGCUGUUAAGGAACACUGGUCUGUGGUGAAAACGAAUGCCGAACCUCAUGUGCAAUUAUUUACUACAAAAACUACUGAAAUUUAUGAGGCAUCAAAGAAUGCAAUUGCUCCUCAUGCAAGCAAGGCGAAAGAAUUUGUAGAUCCUUAUUAUCAGGAAGCUAAAAGGCUGAGCAAGCCAUACAUUGAUCAGGUUGCUGUUGCUGCGAAGCCUCAUGUUGAUAAAGCACAAGAGGUUUUGAAGCCCUAUACAAAACAUGUUGUUCAUGCUUAUGGCAGGUUCAUGGACUCUGCCACUACAUAUCAUAGCCAGGUCCAAGCAACUGUCCAGGAGACACUGAAAAAGCACGAGCUUACUAAGCCUCUUGCUACUAAAGAAUUGGAAUGGUUUGCGGCCUCUGCUCUUUUGGCCUUGCCUGUUAUUUUACUGGCUAGAGUUUUAUCUGCCACUUUCUGCAAAAAAGCCAAAAAGCCUGCUCGAAGUGGAAACACUCAGAGUGCUCGACGUAAAGCUAAACGAGGGCAUCCAGAUCAGCCCGACAAGUAGAUAACACAAUGUUCGUUCCUACUUUUUUUUGGGACAGAUUUAGGGAAAUGGAGUCAUGUGGAUGUUAAUUGAAACAUGUUUCUUACAGACUGUCAUAAUUAUUGUUUUUACCUGUUCACAUGGACUUAUCUUGGGGGCCAGAUAUUUUACCUGUUCCAUUUUAUGUGGGCUUUGAAUAUUUUAGCUUUUUGUUUCUCAUUGAGGGAUCUUCAGAAGGUUAGAGUUGGGCAUACGAUGUGCUUAGGCAUUCAUGUAUUAUGGCUGUGUUAUAUUUGUUAUUUCACCCCUUCCCCCAUUUUGUUCGGAGAAAAAUCUUCAUAUAUUUCACAAUCAUGUAUGUUUAUUGAGGUUGCUUUUAGAACUAGAAGUUGAAAGAAACUAAUUCAUGGGUUAUUCUUCACUAUCA